rnacentral:rRNA from 1 species
UACGGGGGGGGGCAAGCGUUGUUCGGAAUUACUGGGGCGUAAAAGGGCUCGUAGGCGGCCAACUAAGUCAGACGUGAAAUCCCUCGGCUUAACCGGGGAACUGCGUCUGAUACUGGAUGGCUUGAGUUCGGGAGAGGGAUGCGGAAUUCCAGGUGUAGCGGUGGAAAUGCGUAGAUAUCUGGAGGAACACCGGUGGCGAAGGCGGCAUCCUGGACCGACACUGACGCUGAGGAGCGAAAGCCAGGGGAGCAAACGGG